GAUGAACGCUGGCGGCGUGCCUAAUACAUGCAAGUCGAGCGAACGGACGAGAAGCUUGCUUCUCUGAUGUUAGCGGCGGACGGGUGAGUAACACGUGGAUAACCUACCUAUAAGACUGGGAUAACUUCGGGAAACCGGAGCUAAUACCGGAUAAUAUUUUGAACCGCAUGGUUCAAAAGUGAAAGACGGUCUUGCUGUCACUUAUAGAUGGAUCCGCGCUGCAUUAGCUAGUUGGUAAGGUAACGGCUUACCAAGGCAACGAUGCAUAGCCGACUUGAGAGGGUGAUCGGACACACGGGAACUGAGACACGGUCCAGACUCCUACGGGAGGCAGCAGUAGGGAAUCUUCCGCAAUGGGCGAAAGCCUGACGGAGCAACGCCGCGUGAGUGAUGAAGGUCUUCGGAUCGUAAAACUCUGUUAUUAGGGAAGAACAUAUGUGUAAGUAACUGUGCACAUCUUGACGGUACCUAAUCAGAAAGCCACGGCUAACUACGUG
rnacentral:rRNA from 1 species